rnacentral:rRNA from 5 species
UCUGGUGAUGAUGGCGAAGAGGUCACACCCGUUCCCAUGCCGAACACGGAAGUUAAGCUCUUCAGCGCCGAUGGUAGUCGGGGGGUUCCCCCUGUGAGAGUAGGACAUCGCCAGGC